rnacentral:rRNA from 1 species
GACAGAGGGGCAAGCGUUGCUCGGAAUUACUGGGCGUAAAGGGCGCGUAGGCGGGAUGGCAAGUCGGUCGUGAAAUCCUUCGGCUCAACCGAAGAACGUCGAUCGAUACUGCUGUUCUUGAGGUUGCAGAGGAGACUGAAUUCCGGUGUAGCGGUGGAAUGCGUAGAGAUCCGGAAGAACACCGGUGGCGAAGGCGUCUGCUGGCAGUGCUGACACUGAGCGCGACGAGCGUGGAGCAACAGG